CGACACAGGAACGAGCAUUUUCGGGGACUAGCCCGUGCGAGAGACUUCUAUGCCCCGCCCCAUUCUACACACCCCGGGAGGGCUAUUCAGUAAUUACAGACAGAUGUCCGAAUUACGAAUAGCGCGCACCACCUUCCGAUAGGGAACAGAACUCCGCGUUCCACUAUUGUCUAUCUCAGACAAAUAGUGGCGCAGGGUUUGUUCCGAGAAAGGCUGCCCGCCUCUCUUGUAAAAGAGAACGUCACGGAUUUCGAACCGUUUCCGGAUGAGAUCCUCAGCACGCUACCCAUCACCGAUGAGUGCUGCACCUACGAUAAUAGGUCAUCG
rnacentral:lncRNA from 1 species